AAGAGCUACCAGGGUAGCAGAAAAUAUUGCAAUUAAAAUUAUAACAGUAAUCAGGACCAUACAAUGAAACUGACGGCGCUGUUCGUGAUGCUGAUGGCGGUGCUCGCGCUUUUCGCGGGUGGUGUGUGUUCGGCUCCAAACCCAGAUCCUAAGGUCAACUUCCAAGGACUGAAGAAAGUAGGGAAGGUGGUUAAAACAAUUUUUGGAGUAGCGAGUGGAGCAGCAACUGGCCACGAGUUGUACAAGUCAUACAAAAACAGAGGACAACAAGGGUAAACAUGGUGGAGGAAACCGCGUGCAGCUACUAUCAAACGCGUUCCGACUACAAUGAUAAGUGUAUGAGUUCGAAACCCAGUUGGACAUUGUUAUUGUAAUGUUGUUAUUUGUUAUUAAAAUAUUUUUUUAACUA